UUAUAUAAUACAUCUGAAUACAUAAAUUAUAUUAAUUAAAAAAAUAUUUAUGAAUACAUUCAUGGCAUAUAGCGAGACAGUAAAUACAAUGAAAUACAUCGGGAUACAUUGAAAUACAAUGAAAAAAAGACAGUAAAUACAAUGAAAUACAUGAAAUACGACGAGAUACAAUGAAUUACAAUGAAAAAAAAGACAAUGAAUACAAUGAAAUACAUGAAAAUACAUUGAAAUAUAUUAACAGAAAAUCAAGUUGCUCAGCCCCAAACUCCAUUGUCUUUGUUCAAGAACAGACCCUAAUUUCCGGUGAAUAUGCCGUUCACCGGAAGCCAGUAGUGAAAAGGGUUCUCAAAUAGGUCGUUGGCUCAGACAGUGUUGAAGAGGAAGAUCAGGGUUCCCAAAUUACGUUGUUUCUUCAAGGAUACAAGGAAGGAAGUAUUAUACAGAAACAUAUCACUUCAGAUUCUUAUAAGGCUUUCAUAGACUAAUAGGUCCACUUUGGUAAACAUCAAUCCCAAUUUGAUCAAGAUAAGUUGCUUGAGAAAUCUUUACGCGCCGCCUUGGUCCGGCGAUGGUGCCGGAGCCGUUCAAAAUGAUCCACAAAAAUACUACUGUAUAAUUUUGUUGAAAAUCUGAAGACAUUACUAGUGAAUUUGACGGCAACUUGGCAAGGUGGAUCUGCGACUGCCUAUAAUAUAUAAGAAAUUAGACAAUUAGAUCUGAACGACGGCAGAAUAAUAAUUCAAUCAAACCAAAAAAAAAAUGAGAAAAGAAUUACAGGAACAGAUCCGGAAACAUUCUGAUUAUCAAUUGCGGUGUAAUUGCUGGACAUUCGGAUUGGAGCAGUUGAAGAUGGCAAAUUGAUAAAGAGGAAACUUACUGCUUUCAUUAUUGAAUGGCGUAUCAAACUAGAGAGAGAAAAAGAAAAUAGUGUAAUUGAAUAGCGUAUUUAGUGGCUUAGGGAUAUGAAGUAACCAAAAUUAAAUAUUUUGCAAUAAAUAUUAAAAAGUAUCUAUAGAAUAUAUAUUUUUAAAUGAUAUUUAUUUAAAAUAAAUAAGGUGUUAACCUUUGCUAUAGGGGGUAAAAAUUUCGUUUUAAAUGAG
rnacentral:lncRNA from 1 species